rnacentral:tRNA from 1 species
GCCGGGGUGGCGAAACUGGUAGACGCGGGGGACUUAAAAUCCCUUGGACCUCACGGUCCGUGCCGGUUCGAUUCCGGCCCUCGGCA